GUAUGGCAGGGCAAAAGUCCUGCUAUAGCACUUCUGGCUGCUCGAGGCAGUUCCAGGAGUUGGACUCUACAAUCUUUUUGGGUCUCUUACAACACAGCAUAUUCAAUGCUCCUAUGAUUCUAAGAACCGUGCCUGGACAGCAAGAGGGUCUGCAUAAGCCACUGAGGCAGCAAGAGGCAGAGCAUGCCUUUUCACGCUCCUACAGUCUCACUGUGAAGAAGAAUCUGAAGCAAAAUGCCUUCCAAAGAAUUGUUCAGGCGACGAAUACUGGCCAACAGCAAACACCACUGUAAUUCCUAAAAACAGCACUGCAAAUCCAAGAAUGAGCUCUACUACUAUUUGUUAAUUGCUGAGAGGAACUUGACUUCAUGUUACAAUGGCUACCCUGAAUCAAGAGUUUUAAAAGACUGUGUGCUACUAAAUGGCUGGUUUGGAAAGGAUAUUACCUGACUCAGAAAUUACAGCAGGAUGUUGGCAAGCAUUAAAUUCCCCGAGUAGGACUUCAGCAGACAAGCCAGAGUCUUUUCGACUCUCUCAGCAU
rnacentral:lncRNA from 1 species